AUUGAACGCUGGCGGCAUGCUUUACACAUGCAAGUCGAACGGUAACAGGCCUUCGGGUGCUGACGAGUGGCGAACGGGUGAGUAAUGCAUCGGAACGUGCCCAGAGGUGGGGGAUAACGCAGCGAAAGCUGUGCUAAUACCGCAUGUGAUCUGAGGAUGAAAGCGGGGGACCAGGCAGCAAUGUUUGGCCUCGCGCCUUUGGAGCGGCCGAUGUCAGAUUAGGUAGUUGGUGGGGUAAAGGCCUACCAAGCCGACGAUCUGUAGCUGGUCUGAGAGGACGACCAGCCACACUGGGACUGAGACACGGCCCAGACUCCUACGGGAGGCAGCAGUGGGGAAUUUUGGACAAUGGGCGCAAGCCUGAUCCAGUAAUGCCGCGUGCGUGAAGAAGGCCUUCGGGUUGUAAACCGCUUUUGUACGGAACGAAAAGGCUCUGGCUAAUACCUGGGGCUGAUGACGGUACCGGAAGAAUAAGCACCGGCUAACUACGUG
rnacentral:rRNA from 1 species